CUUCAAGUCCACGCUGGUGUGUCCCGAUUGUGGCAAUGUAUCUGUGACCUUCGACCCCUUCUGCUACCUCAGUGUUCCACUGCCUAUCAGCCACAAGAGGGUCUUGGAGGUCUUCUUUAUCCCCAUGGAUCCGCGCCGCAAGCCAGAGCAGGUGUGGGGCAGUGGGGGCCUGGGGAGAUGAUGAUGGACACAUAGAGUUUCAUUAGCGGCCAUAGCUCAAGGCUUCCUGCAUUAACUCACCACAAGCCCUUUUGGUCUUUUGUGGAUACCGUUUUUCCCUUAGCACCGGCUCGUGGUCCCCAAGAAAGGCAAGAUCUCGGAUCUAUGUGUGGCUCUGUCCAAACACACGGGCAUCUCGCCAGAGAGGAUGAUGGUGGCUGAUGUCUUCAGUCACCGCUUCUAUAAGCUCUAUCAGCUGGAGGAGCCUCUGAGCAGCAUCUUGGACCGUGAUGAUAUCUUCGUCUAUGAGGUGUCAGGUCGCAUUGAGGCCAUCGAGGGCUCGAGAGAGGACAUCGUGGUUCCUGUCUACCUGCGGGAGCGCACCCCUGCCCGUGACUACAACAACUCCUACUAUGGCCUGAUGCUUUUUGGGCACCCACUCCUGGUAUCAGUGCCCCGGGACCGCUUCACCUGGGAGGGCCUGUAUAAUGUCCUGAUGUACCGGCUCUCACGCUACGUGACCAAACCCAACUCAGAU
rnacentral:sRNA from 1 species